rnacentral:rRNA from 1 species
UGGGGAAUAUUGGACAAUGGGCGAAAGCCUGAUCCAGCCAUGCCGCGUGUGUGAAGAAGGUCUUCGGAUUGUAAAGCACUUUAAGUUGGGAGGAAGGGCAGUAAGCGAAUACCUUGCUGUUUUGACGUUACCGACAGAAUAAGCACCGGCUAACUCUGUGCCAGCAGCCGCGGUAAUACAGAGGGUGCAAGCGUUAAUCGGAAUUACUGGGCGUAAAGCGCGCGUAGGUGGUUCGUUAAGUUGAAUGUGAAAGCCCCGGGCUCAACCUGGGAACUGCAUCCAGAACUGGCGAGCUAGAGUAGGGCAGGGGGUGGUGGAAUUUCCUGUGUAGCGGUGAAAUGCGUAGAUAUAGGAAGGAACACCAGUGGCGAAGGCGACCACCUGGGCUCAUACUGACACUGAGGUGCGAAAGCGUGGGGAGCAAACAGG